UGGGAUCACACCAGCAUGCAUUAGCUAGGUCCAUUGACUGUUUUCUACAGUCAUUGGCUAGGUCUUUCACUUUGAAAGCAAAUGAGACAGGCUGCAGAUGGUGGUGCGGAAUUAUCGAUUGAUUUGGUACAGCGAGCUGUCUGGAAGAAAGACUGGCUCAACUUCAUUUAGCCACAUCACCUGAGCAGGAGUCACCUGAGUCAGACCUGAACCAUCAAAGUGGAAAGCAGACUCAAGGUCAUCAAAGGCCCAAAGGACCGUCCUGUAAACUGGCAAUAAACCAGAAUACCAAUAUAAAGAUUUUUCUUUCUAUUAACAGUGGCCAAGUAAGUUAGAAAACACAGUGGAUCAAAAAUUAAAAAGUGUGCCACUGCACAGUGUCUCCCCGCUCAGCAGAAAAGAGCCAGCCCCAUCCCUCAGCCCAGCCACACAUCCACCAUAGCAGCAGUCUGGAAGAAUCACACCCAUCAUAUUCACAUCGAGGUGAUAGUUACAUGUUUGCUCACUGGGUUUUCUCAUGUCUGCAGACACAAAGAACACAAAUAAUUUUGGGAACAACAUCCAGCACCAGGGGAAGCGGAUAGGAGGGAGCCCCAGUGGAAGAUCUGGGUAUGUGUGGGAUGAGGAAAAAUGGACUGCAGAGAAAAAAAGAAGAAAAAACCAUCUCAAGGAGCAGCAGCUCCAGGUCCUAGAGCUGUGAGUGACAGUCUCUCUAAGUGUCUUUGCCUUAAAGGAGUCUGUUGUGGGUCCUCCUUAAUACGGCCAGCUGUCAUCCCCCCCACUGCCAAAGACAGACCUUGUGGCCA